AGAGCUCGGUUUGAUCAAAGUUACUGCAUAACCAAAACAACUCUGUGUUAGAAUCCACAUUAUAAAAGCAUUUUCAAAAAAUUCGUAUACAUAUAAAAUAGACCGAUACUUACAUUUAUGGUCAUAUAACCAUGCUUGCUUCGAGAGGAGUCCGUACUUCCACUCCUCCUUGGGGAAAUUGUCAAAAGUUCCAUCAUUUCUAUUUCUGUUUCUUCAGAAAUGUCUCCAAAGUCAGCAGAGAUCUUCUCGUCAGUGGCCCAGUUCGGUAGGGAAGAGAUUUCGAGGCCUUUGACGUAGAACCACUUUUCAUGCCAGCCCCUGUUGCUCGAAGGCGUGUUCACCAGCGAACGCCUCUCGAACUUCUCUCCUGACUUCGGAGAAUGCUUGCUAAUGGCCUUGAACCCCUUCUCCCUAGAUUGUACUAUUUUGUAUACUGUGAAGAAGAAGUCCAGGGAGGGCUCCACGCCCAAUUCGUGACAGAAGGCUACGAAGGCCAAGAUGUGAAUGUAUGAGUUUGGUACUAGUUGGGCGAACCCCACCCCCAGAAACCCCAGCAAGGUUACUAUGAAGAUAUGCAAAGGGAAAUGAA
rnacentral:lncRNA from 1 species